UCUGUACCUUUCUUGUUUUUCCUUUUUCUUUCUUUUCCUUCUUUUCCUUUUUCAUUUUCUU
rnacentral:ribozyme from 1 species